ACUUUCAACAACGGAUCUCUUGGUUCUCGCAUCGAUGAAGAACGCAGCGAAAUGCGAUAAGUAGUGUGAAUUGCAGAAUUCCGUGAAUCAUCGAAUCUUUGAACGCACAUUGCGCCUCCUGGUAAUCCGAGAGGCAUGCCUGUCCGAGCGUCA
rnacentral:rRNA from 1 species